AUUAGAGUUUGAUCAUGGCUCAGAAUGAACGCUGGCGGCAUGCCUAACACAUGCAAGUCGAACGAAGGCUUCGGCCUUAGUGGCGCACGGGUGCGUAACGCGUGGGAAUCUGCCCUUGGGUUCGGAAUAACAGUUAGAAAUGACUGCUAAUACCGGAUGAUGUCGUAAGACCAAAGAUUUAUCGCCCAAGGAUGAGCCCGCGUAGGAUUAGCUAGUUGGUGAGGUAAAAGCUCACCAAGGCGACGAUCCUUAGCUGGUCUGAGAGGAUGAUCAGCCACACUGGAACUGAGACACGGCCCAGACUCCUACGGGAGGCAGCAGUGGGGAAUAUUGGACAAUGGGCGAAAGCCUGAUCCAGCAAUGCCGCGUGAGUGAUGAAGGCCUUAGGGUUGUAAAGCUCUUUUACCCGGGAUGAUAAUGACAGUACCGGGAGAAUAAGCUCCGGCUAACUCCGUGCCAGCAGCCGCGGUAAUAAU
rnacentral:rRNA from 1 species